UUAAAGCUGAAGAUCAGAGAAGCAAAGUGGCCAGCCACUAGAGACUUCUCACCUCUACCAAUGCUCAGACUGGAAGGGGCGAACACGUCCUCAGAUUCAUCUCCAGACUGCACUGCUCUCCAGGUAACCUCAGACUGCCUUCAGGUCCUGGUAGCACCAGUGCUGGAUUACAGGCGUGGGAUCCCAGGUGCUGGGGUCACCUUUGUGGGAGCUCUGUUUCUCUUUUAGACUGGAGCAAUUUGUAUAGUUCAGAUAUCUGCCUGCCUCUGUCUCCCGAGGGCUGGGAUUAAAGGUGUGUGCCACCAUUGUCCCGCCUGUACGGCUGACUGGCGUGGCUAGCUCCACCCUCUAAUCUUAGGCCCGUUUUACCUGUUACCAUCAGCAAAGUUAUCACACCACGAGGAACGCACUGCAGGAUCAGAGUUCCAACAGUACCGGAUUUGGGAGAUGGUCUGCCGGGUUCUUUGAAGGAGCUGUUUCACGCUUCCGCGCUUGUCAUCAUACGCAGCGUCACCUUUAAGAUGAACCUGUCACGCAGCGCUGCAUAUGGCUGAUUUCCCUUCACACAUGCCGGAGCUCUUGCCAGCUACCCGCCAGUGAGCGCCUGGAGAUCAGCUUUGUUCCUCUGAAAGGCUGAGGCUGCCCCCUCCACCACUAGUUGUCGAGCCUCUGCCAGCUCGACCUUCGAACAAUCAAGGGGACAAGGAUUACUCUUGCUCUGUCUAUACAGACCAGAGCACCCAAGAACAGAGAUGAGAUCGAAAACUUGGGUGUCUGCUCCAAGAUCCUGCACCUUUGAACUGUGCGCGCGCGCGCGAGCGCGUGUGUGUGUGUGUGUGUGUGUGUGUGUCUUUAAAAUUUAUUUUUGUUUCCUGUACCAAUUUUAUCAGACUCUUUCCUGAAAGGUGUGUCUCUGGGACACCCCGAAUCUCGACUUUUAGGGCAGCUGUCUCUGUGCUUCUUCUGUUAAAUUCGGUAACAAAAUCUUCCCCAAGAGUAGCGUCUGGUCUGGAUCUAUCAAGCUGAAAUAGAGUGAUUGUAAUUUCGGUAAUCGUUACUGUACCGUUAAUAGUUGGCGAUUCUGGGCCAUGCUGAGGCGAGCCAUGUUUACUUCUGGGCGAUGCUGUGGGGGUUGGGGCAAAGGAGCCCAUCCCAUCCCCUCUGGCUAGUGUCCCUGUCUCUUGCGCUCGUUCGAGAACACACACUCACACACACACACACACACACACACACACACGGGAUUGCAGGCGUGUUCUAGGCUCAGCUCCCAUCUUCUCUUCACUGUGUUAGUGUCUUUCUGGAAACUGAGCUCCCUAGAUAGAAUGACUGUAGCCAGCUAACCAGCAAGGCUCAACUGAGCAGGCCGGGGGCUGGGGAGGACCCAUUUGGGGAGUCUGGAAAGAUGUGAGUGUUGAGGGAGAGAUCUGCUGGCCAAGGCUGCUCUGGUUUUGUGAAGGACCGAAACAGAACACUACCCGAUGCACAGAGCCUCUGUGUUCCAGCUGUGGGGGAGGAGGGGACGUCAGUUCCCUGCUUGGGAUCUAGCAUGGAGAAGAAAUGCAGUUUAAAACCUCAAGCUCCGCACUGUCUUCUGUGCUCAGCAGAAUGGCUGGGUGCACCCUGGCUGACCCUGGUGUUCACAGCCACGCGGUUUCCUGUUUAGAGCCACUUAGUGUGAAGGUAUGUUCAUGGGGAAGGAUCCUGAACGCUGGGCAUUUGCUGGGACUCUGGGAACGCCUCCUGGGGUCCCAACCCACGCUCUGGAGAGAGACUGUCAGUUUCGCACACACGGAGGGAGGACACGGGACACAGGUUUCUCUGCAUGUGUUUGUGGAUGACAGACACGCGCAAAGAGAUUCUGCGCUAGUUUGGGUGAGAGGCCUGACUCACGGAUAAGGAAGGCCAGCUUUCCAAAUCCGCUGUUGAGGUGAGGCAGUCAGAGCGGGGCAGAGCAGAAACGUGCUGAGUUCAGGGAGGCCUGUGUAACAGCUUUCUUGGCCCCUGAAGUUGACCAAACCGCUAAGUGAAGAAACAGACUUCCUUCGGUACCUCCGACCAAGUCAUCAUCUGUAAACUGGCUGGGCUGCUUCAGCUUAACUGCAGUCUUCCUGACUGCUCGGGAGAGAACUGGGAGCUGAGUGGGGAGGGGAAUACCGAAAGAGCUAGAAUGUAGAUGUCACUCCUGGAGCAGGUCACUGUCUUUCUUAACCCAUCCAGUUAUCUUCCAUUUCCCUCAUCACACCAGUCAUAUUUUAUAAAACUGGAAUGUAGACGGGCAUAUUUGCUGGCAGGUCAAUGGCUCGCAUAACUUUGUAUAACUUCUGUGCCUCCAAACCAUGACCGCGGCUCCCAGCGCUACACGAAUACCCAUCCCAGGAUGAGGCGGGGUCACGUGGUCACAUCUGAUGCUUUUGGCAGAAGAUGAUGACUGAAGCUGGCAAGGCCUCGGCGCCAGACUACAGCGACCUUUGCCAGGCUUCACAUGUCAACUUUCUUCUAAGUAGGGGAAGUAACUUUCAGGGCACAGAUUACGUUAACAGUCAGAUGACGGGCUUUUAUGUGUGUGCCUGUGGUGGACAUUAGAAACCCUGAGGUCCGUUUCUAACAUCCCAGGGAUGUUAUGGCGGAGGACUAAGGAGGCAUGCGUUUGCUUGAGAUGGAGGUGGGAAAUGUGGGAGGAGCGGACUCCAGCUCUCUCCGUACGUAGCUGUGCCCUGGAUGCGAUUGGAGUUUCUAUUUUGCCUCUUGAUCGUAGUGGUGUGCACAGCAGCAACGCCGUUGGUUUCUCCUGGUUGGACAAAGCACCACACAGGGUCUUGGGGUGCCGAGACUCUGGUGUAACCAUGCGUGAGUUAACAGGCUGUGUCCGCUUCAGAAGGGAGAGAGGGAAAGUGUCGCGCUUUGAAUGUGAAGUGUCUGUCUUCCAUGGGCUCAUGUGUCUGAAUGUUUAGUCUCCAGCUGGCACAGUGCGUGGGGAAAACCGCGUGCCGUUAGGAGGAGGGGCCUACCGGGUGAUGGGCCUGGAGGAUUUACAGCCUGGGCUCACUUACGUCUACUCUCUGGUCCCCCAAUCGGUAGACCUAGAAGCAUUGGCUGUGAUCCCGCACUCACAGCCGCGACCGCUCCUGUUGCCUUCCUGACCACGACGGAGUGUACCUUGAAACUGUGAGCCAAAUGAGUCCUUCCUCUCUUAGCUGACAAGUGUGGCCCACAAGACCUAUAACAACAAGGAAGUUAUGUGAGGAGUGAGCGUGAGGCAGUGGGAGCGGGACAACUGAGGUUCCUGUACUUAUGAGGCUGAAGAUUCAAGAGUGAGAGGCACCCGGGCUGCAGAGUGAGACCCUGUCUCAAAGAUGAGAGCAAAGCAACCCCACCCCAAGUCCUCAGAAAUGGGCUAAAAUAAACAUAUACAACUGAAAAAAUA